rnacentral:misc_RNA from 1 species
GAUGAAGAACGUAGCGAAACGCGAUAAGUAAUGUGAAUUGCAGAAUUUAGUGAAUCAUCGAACUUUUGAACGCACAUUGCGCCCCCUGGUAUUCCGGGGGGCAUGCCUGUCCGAGCGUCAUUGCUGCCCUCAAGCACGGCUUGUGUGUUGGGCCCCGUCCUCCGAUCCCGGGGGACGGGCCCGAAAGGCAGCGGCGGCACCGCGUCCGGUCCUCGAGCGUAUGGGGCUUUGUCACCCGCUCUGUAGGCCCGGCCGGCGCUUGCCGAUCAACCCAAAUUUUUAUCCAGGUUGACCUCGGAUCAGGUAGGGAUACCCGCUGAACUUAAGCAUAUCAAUAAGCGGAGGA